AGUGAACGCUGGCGGUAGGCCUAACACAUGCAAGUCGAACGGCAGCACAGUAAGAGCUUGCUCUUACGGGUGGCGAGUGGCGGACGGGUGAGGAAUACAUCGGAAUCUACUUUUUCGUGGGGGAUAACGUAGGGAAACUUACGCUAAUACCGCAUACGACCUACGGGUGAAAUCAGGGGAUCUUCGGACCUUGCGCGAUUGAAUGAGCCGAUGUCGGAUUAGCUAGUUGGCGGGGUAAAGGCCCACCAAGGCGACGAUCCGUAGCUGGUCUGAGAGGAUGAUCAGCCACACUGGAACUGAGACACGGUCCAGACUACUACGGGAGGCAGCAGUGGGGAAUAUUGGACAAUGGGCGCAAGCCUGAUACAGCCAUACCGCGUGGGUGAAGAAGGCCUUCGGGUUGUAAAGCCCUUUUGUUGGGAAAGAAAAGCAGCAGGUUAAUAACCCGCUGUUCUGACGGUACCCAAAGAAUAAGCACCGGCUAACUUCGUG
rnacentral:rRNA from 1 species